rnacentral:rRNA from 1 species
UACGAAGGGGGCUAGCGUUGCUCGGAUUGACUGGGCGUAAAGGGCGCGUAGGCGAUUCGUACAGUCAGACGUGAAAUUCCUGGGCUCAACCUGGGGGCUGCGUUUGAUACGUGCGGACUUGAGUGCGGAAGAGGGUCGUGGAAUUCCCAGUGUAGAGGUGAAAUUCGUAGAUAUUGGGAAGAACACCGGUGGCGAAGGCGGCGACCUGGUCCGAUACUGACGCUGAGGCGCGAAAGCGUGGGGAGCAAACAGG